rnacentral:rRNA from 1 species
GACAGAGGGUGCAAACGUUGUUCGGAAUUACUGGGCGUAAAGCGCGUGUAGGCGGCUAUGUAAGUCGGGCGUGAAAUCCCGGGGCUCAACCCCGGAACUGCCUUUGAUACUGGCGGUCUCGAGUCCGGAAGAGGUUAGUGGAAUUCCCAGUGUAGAGGUGAAAUUCGUAGAUAUUGGGAAGAACACCAGUGGCGAAGGCGGCUAACUGGUCCGGUACUGACGCUGAGGUGCGAAAGCGUGGGGAGCAAACAGG